UGGGUGGUGCAGGAGGAGCCGAGUGAAGUUUCACCCCAUGAGGAGCUGCAGGGACUGGGACCGGUGGUUUUGGUUGUGUGGAGCCGCUCCCCGGAGCGGUCUGGGACAGGAGCAAGCUUUGGGGAGCACAAGGCUUGUAGUUCACAGGAGGCCUGAGUUGUUCUGAGAACACACAGGCCAGGUUAAUCUGACACAAGUAGUGUCACUCAUACUGUGUAUUGGAUUUACACAAGGCUAGCUAGCAGCAGUUACUUUUCAUUUCUAACUACAUGUUCUUCUAACUAAAUGUUAAUUAAGGGCAAUGGGAAUCUGCUACAGCCACUCUGCACAAUUUCCAAGACACAGCAAGCCAUUCAUGCCCUGUUGCAGCUGUCUCCCUGUGCGUGGUGUCAAACACUGCAGUGUGCUUGGGCUUCAUUCACAUUGUUUAAAGAGGUGGCAGCGGUCACAGUUCAGGUACCUUAGCGCUUAGAUUAAGGCCUGUGAAGUCAUUCUGUAGCUAACCAGUCAGCUAAGUGUUAAACACCCCUGUUGCAUCUGCUCAGAAACAGUCCAAAUGAGCUAUGCUUGAAUAGGACUUUAUUGGCUUCCUAACUUCUUGUGUGUGUGUGUGCUUGCUGUAGCCACAGAAUAAAGACUUUAUGGAGAGAAUAUUGCCAAAAGCCCUUGCCAACACAUCUGCCUUCAAUGCUAUUAUUUAUAAAACUGAAAAGGAAUCCUAUUUUGAUUAGAUUUAUAUUCUUAGCAGUUUUUCUUAAAUCAAGUCUAGGAGAACAGCAGGGCAGGACUCAUCCUGGAGCCCAGUAAAACUUUGGUGCCAACCUUGAUUUACACUUCACCUUAUACAGACGUCCAGUAAUGAAAUGCAGAAGCAGCAUAAGAGACUGCAACAGCAAUUGUGCCCAAGGUUACUCUGACCACCUCUUUCAUUGCGUGUGACCUUCUAGGUGUGCUGUUUAUCAGAGCAUUUCUCUGCACAACUGCAAUGCUGAAUAAAUGCUGUGCUGCAGUGGUAGAUUUUGGACUAAGAUGUGCUUUUUAUGAAGCCUCUGUAAAGCUGAAAUCAUGAUGGAAUGCAACAAGCUGCAUGCCCCUCAAUUCAUUUUCUAUGAUACCUGUUUAAUUAUAAUUAAUCUUGCAGUAAAGUUAAAUUUUAACUCAA